UAUAGAUGGAUCCGCGCUGCAUUAGCUAGUUGGUAAGGUAACGGCUUACCAAGGCAACGAUGCAUAGCCGACCUGAGAGGGUGAUCGGCCACACUGGAACUGAGACACGGUCCAGACUCCUACGGGAGGCAGCAGUAGGGAAUCUUCCGCAAUGGGCGAAAGCCUGACGGAGCAACGCCGCGUGAGUGAUGAAGGUCUUCGGAUCGUAAAACUCUGUUAUUAGGGAAGAACAUAUGUGUAAGUAACUGUGCACAUCUUGACGGUACCUAAUCAGAAAGCCACGGCUAACUACG
rnacentral:rRNA from 1 species